rnacentral:rRNA from 1 species
AUACGGAGGAUCCGAGCGUUAUCCGGAUUUAUUGGGUUUAAAGGGUGCGCAGGCGGGAGAUUAAGUCGGCGGUGAAAUUUUGCAGCUCAACUGUAAAAGGGCCUUCGAAACUGGUUUCCUUGAGUGUAGAUGAAGUAGGCGGAAUUUGGGGUGGAGCGGUGAAAUGCAUAGAUAUCACGAGGAACUCCGAUUGCGCAGGCAGCUUACUAAACUACUACUGACGCUCAGGCACGAAGGCGUGGGGAUCAAACAGGAUUAGAUACCCUGGUAGUCCACGCAGUAAACGAUGAUUACUAGCUGUUUGCGAUACAAUGUAAGCGGCUGAGCGAAAGCGUUAAGUAAUCCACCUGGGGAGUACGUUCGCAAGAAUGAAACUCAAAGGAAUUGACGGGG